GGAGGUGGCAAGCGUUGUCCGGAAUUAUUGGGCGUAAAGCGCGCGCAGGUGGGUUCUUUAAGUCUGAUGUGAAAGCCCCCGGGCUCAACCGGGGAGGGUCAUUGGAAACUGGGGAACUUGAGUGCAGGAGAGGAAAGUGGAAUUCCACGUGUAGCGGUGAAAUGCGUAGAUAUGUGGAGGAACACCAGUGGCGAAGGCGACUUUCUGGCCUGUAACUGACACUGAGGCGCGAAAGCGUGGGGAGCAAACAGGAUUAGAUACCCUGGUAGUCCACGCCGUAAACGAUGAGUGCUAAGUGUUGGGGGGUUUCCGCCCCUCAGUGCUGCAGCUAACGCAUUAAGCACUCCGCCUGGGGAGUACGGUCGCAAGACUG
rnacentral:rRNA from 1 species